rnacentral:rRNA from 1 species
UAAUAGCGUAUAUUAAUGUUGUUGCAGUUAAAAAGCUCGUAGUUGGAUUUUGGUGUUUGACAAAUGGUCUGCCUUUCGGUGUGCACUGUUUGUUGGCACUUCUUUUCUGGGGAACUCACUGCUCUUAAUUGAGGGGUGCUGUAACGCAGAUCGUUUACUUUGAAAAAAUUAGAGUGUUCAAAGCAGGCCAACGCAUUGAAUACAUUAGCAUGGAAUAAUGGAAUAGGACUUUGGUCUUAUUUUGUUGGUUUCUAAGGCCGAGGUAAUGAUUAAUAGGGAUAGUUGGGGGCGUUUAUAUUCCGUUGUCAGAGGUGAAAUUCUUGGAUUUACGGAAGAUAAACUACUGCGAAAGCAUUCGCCAAGGAUGUUUNCAUUA